rnacentral:rRNA from 2 species
CAAGGGGCCUGUUGCACAGGUGCUGCAUGGCUGUCGUCAGCUCGUGUCGUGAGAUGUUGGGUUAAGUCCCGCAACGAGCGCAACCCUCGCCUCCAGUUGCCAGCAUUAAGUUGGGCACUCUGGAGGAACUGCCGGUGCCAAGCCGGAGGAAGGUGGGGAUGACGUCAAGUCCUCAUGGCCCUUAUGGGCUGGGCUACACACGUGCUACAAUGGCGGUGCCAAUGGGAAGCUAGGCCGCGAGGUCGUGCCGAUCCCAAAAAGCCGUCUCAGUUCAGAUUGCACUCUGCAACUCGGGUGCAUGAAGGUGGAAUCGCUAGUAAUCGCGGAUCAG